rnacentral:rRNA from 1 species
AUACGUAGGUGGCAAGCGUUAUCCGGAAUUAUUGGGCGUAAAGAGGGAGCAGGCGGCAGCAAGGGUCUGUGGUGAAAGCCUGAAGCUUAACUUCAGUAAGCCAUAGAAACCAGGCAGCUAGAGGGCAGGAGAGGAUCGUGGAAUUCCAUGGGUAGCGGGGAAAUGCGUAGAUAUAUGGAGGAACACCAGUGGCGAAGGCGUCGAUCUGGACUGCAACUGACGCUCAGGCCAGAAAGGGUGGGGAGCAAAUAGGAUUAGAUACCCUAGUAGUCCACGCCGUAAACGAUGAGUACUAAGUGUUGGAUGUCAAAGUUCAGUGCUGCAGUUAACGCAAUAAGUACUCCGCCUGAGUAGUACGUUCGCAAGAAUGAAACUCAAAGGAAUUGACGGGG